UACGGGGGGGGUAAGCGUUGUUCGGAAUUACUGGGCGUAAAGGGCUCGUAGGCGGCCAACUAAGUCGGACGUGAAAUCCCUCAGCUUAACUGGGGAACUGCAUCCGAUACUGGAUGGCUUGAAUCCGGGAGAGGGAUGCAGAAUUCCAGGUGUAGCGGUGAAAUGCGUAGAUAUCUGGAGGAAUACCGGUGGCGAAGGCGGCAUCCUGGACCGGCAUUGACGCUGAGGAGCGAAAGCUAGGGGAGCAAACGGG
rnacentral:rRNA from 1 species